rnacentral:rRNA from 2 species
UGGGGAAUUUUGGACAAUGGGCGAAAGCCUGAUCCAGCCAUGCCGCGUGAGUGAAGAAGGCCUUCGGGUUGUAAAGCUCUUUCAGACGGAAAGAAAACUUCGAGGCUAAUACCUUCGGAGGAUGACGGUACCGUAAGAAGAAGCACCGGCUAACUACGUGCCAGCAGCCGCGGUAAUACGUAGGGUGCGAGCGUUAAUCGGAAUUACUGGGCGUAAAGCGUGCGCAGGCGGUUUUGUAAGACAGCUGUGAAAUCCCCGGGCUCAACCUGGGAACUGCGGUUGUGACUGCAAGACUUGAGUACGGCAGAGGGGGGUGGAAUUCCUGGUGUAGCAGUGAAAUGCGUAGAUAUCAGGAGGAACACCGAUGGCGAAGGCAGCCCCCUGGGCCUGUACUGACGCUCAUGCACGAAAGCGUGGGGAGCAAACAGG